UUGUUACCAAAAAAAAAAAUGUAAUUCUCUAUUUAAUAUUUUAAUAUUUUAUAUAUAGUUAUACUCCUUUUUUUUUGUCGCCUUAAUAAAAUAAAGGAUAAACUUCAAAUACCGCUUCUAUGAUUUCGCACUUUCUCACUUUAGUACCCUGUGGUUUAAAGUGUAUCAAGUUAGUAUCCUAUGGUUUCAUUUUUAUUUUUUCAUCAGCUUUUAUAUAUUAGUUUUAACUUUGUCACUAAUUUAAUGAAAAAAUAAGUGGAAUCGAUAAUAAAAAGAUAAAAAUGAAACCACAGGACACUAAAUUGAUACACUUUAAACCACAGGGUACUAAAAUAAGGUGGUGUGAAACCAUAGGGGUGAUAUUUGAAGUUUUUCUUAAAAUAAAUGAUAUGCAUGCACUUAGCUGCAAUCUUUUUCUUUUUAUUAUUAUUUAAAUAAAAUUACUAUACAACUCUUAUCAUAUAAUA
rnacentral:lncRNA from 1 species